UCAAGCUAAAAAGGGCGCAAGGUGAAUGCCUUGGCACUGGGAGCCGAUGAAAGACGUGGUAAGCUGCGAAAAGCUUCGGGGAGGAGCAAACAUCCAUUGAUCCGGAGAUAUCUGAAUGGGGCAACCCAAUGGAGUUCAUACUCCAUUAUCCAAUACUGAAUCCAUAGGUAUUGGAAGGGAACCGCCUGAACUGAAACAUCUAAGUAGGGCGAGGAAGAGACAUCAAACGAGAUUCCGUAAGUAGUGGCGAGCGAACGCGGAAGAGGGCAAACCGAGAGGAGAAAUCCUUUCGGGGUACGGACUGCUUUAAGGACUGGAAGAGUUAACAGAAUGGCAUGGGAAGGCCAACCGAAGAGUGUGAGAGUCACGUAAGUAAAAAUUCUGACAGCUGCGCAGGAUCCAGAGUACGGCCAGACACGUGAAACCUGGUCGGAAUAUGGGGGGACCACCCUCCAACCCUAAAUACUACCCAGUGACCGAUAGCGUAUAGUACUGUGAAGGAAAGGUGAAAAGGACCCCGGGAGGGGAGUGAAAGAGAACCUGAAACCUUGUGCCUACAAGCACAUAGAGCCCGUCAAAGGGUGAUAUGGUACUUUUUGUAGAACGGUCCGGCGAGCGAUUGUACGUUGCGAGCUUAAGGUCUUAAGGACUGGAGGCGUAGCGAGAGCGAGUCUAAACAGGGCGUUUAGUAGCGUGCAAUGGGCCCGAAACCGGGUGACCUACCCAUGAUCAGGCUGAAGUGAAAGUAAAAUUUCAUGGAGGGCCGAACCGACCUCCGUUGAAAAGGCGGCGGAUGAAUUGUGGGUAGCGGAGAAAUUCCAAUCGAACUCGGAGAUAGCUGGUUCUCCCCGAAAUAGCUUUAGGGCUAGCCUCAUGUUAGAUAUCCGGAGGUAAAGCACUGAAUGGCCUAGCGUCCGAGAGGAUAGCGAAGCCUAUCAAACUAAGAAUGCCGGAAUAUUGAUGCAUGGGAGUCAGACAGUGUGAGAUAAAUCUCAUUGUCAAAAGGGAAACAGCCCAGAUCUACAGCUAAGGUCCCAAAUUGUAUCUAAGUGGAAAACGAUGUGGAAAUACGCAGACAACCAGGAUGUUGGCUCAGAAGCAGCCACUCAUUUAAAGAGUGCGUAAUAGCUCACUGGUCGAGCGUCUCUGCGCGGAAAAUUUAACGGGGCUAAGAUACAAACCGAAGCUUAGGCUGCACUUUUAGUGCGGGGUAGGGGAGCGUUGUGUAAGCGGAGAAACAGUAGCGAAAGCGGCUGUGGAGUUUACAGAAGUGAGAAUGCCGGAAUGAGUAGCGCGAAUGAUGUGAGAAUCAUCAUGGCCGGAAACCUCAGGUUUUUGGAGGAAGGUUCGUCCGCUCCAAGUUAGGCGGGAGCUAAGGUGAGGCCGAAAGGCGUAGCCGAUGCACAGACGGUAGAGAUUCCGUCCCCACCGAAAGAUUUAAGCGCAGGGACACUUUUAGAAGGUCGGAGCCAGGUGUUGGUUCUGGUAGAGAUCGAGGGAAGAUUAGUACCGAAGUCCGGCUGGAUAAGAGGCGAGAAAAGCUGCGUGUAUAUCUAAGGUGCCCGUACCGCAAACCGACACAGGUAGGUAGGAAGAAGAUUCUAAGGCCAACGGGAGAAGGGUUGUUAAGGAACUCGGCAAGUUGACCCCGUAACUUCGGAAUAAGGGGUGCUCAUGAAAGUGAGCCGCAGAGAAUAGGCCCAGGCAACUGUUUACCAAAAACACAGGUUUGUGCUAAAUCGAAAGAUGACGUAUACGAGCUGACGCCUGCCCGGUGCUGGAAGGUUAAAAGGAGAUGUGCAAGCAUUGAAUUGAAGCCCCAGUGAACGGCGGCCGUAACUAUAACGGUCCUAAGGUAGCGAAAUUCCUUGUCAGGUAAGUUCUGACCCGCAUGAAAGGCGUAAUGAUCUGGGCACUGUCUCAACAGCCCGCCCGGCGAAAUUGUAGUACCGGUGAAGAUGCCGGUUACCCGCGACAAGACGGAAAGACCCCAUGGAGCUUUACUGUAGCCU
rnacentral:rRNA from 1 species